ACUUGUGGAUAGCGGAGAAAUUCCAAUCGAACUCGGAGAUAGCUGGUUCUCCCCGAAAUAGCUUUAGGGCUAGCGUUAUUUUAGAUUACCGGAGGUAAAGCACUGAAUGGUCUAGGGGCCGCGAGGUUACCAAAGCCUAUCAAACUCUGAAUGCCGGAUAAUUGAUGAAUAGCAGUCAGACUGUGUGAGAUAAGUCUCAUAGUCAAAAGGGAAACAGCCCAGAUCUACAGCUAAGGUCCCAAAUGAACACUAAGUGGAAAAUGAUGUGAAACUGCGAAGACAACCAGGAUGUUGGCUUAGAAGCAGCCACUCAUUCAAAGAGUGCGUAAUAGCUCACUGGUCGAGUGGUUUUGCGCAGAAAAUGUAACGGGGCUAAGUGUUCAACCGAAGCUUAGGCAUUGCAGUAAUGCAUUGGGUAGGGGAGCGUCGUAUGCGGGGUGAAGUCAGAGCGGAAGCACUGGUGGACUGCAUACGAGUGAGAAUGCCGGAAUAAGUAGCGAGAAUUAUGUGAGAAUCAUAAUGGCCGAAAAUCUAAGGUUUCUUGGGGAAGGUUCGUCCGCCCAAGGUUAGUCGGGAGCUAAGCUCAGGCCGAAAGGCGUAGGCGAUGCACAUACGGUAGAAAUUCCGUAACCACCGAACAUUUAAGCUAGAGGGACGCUUUCUUUAAGGUUAUCCCGGGCGAUGGUUGCCCCGGGCGUAAGGGACCGAAAUAUAGUAGGGAAGUAACUGGCGAGAGAGACGAGAAAAGCUCUAGUGUAUACUAAGGUGCCCGUACCGCAAACCGACACAGGUAGAUGGGAUGAGUAUUCUAAGGCCAACGGGAGAAGGGUUGUUAAGGAACUCGGCAAAUUGGCCCCGUAACUUCGGGAUAAGGGGCGCCUGCGAGAGCAGGCCGCAGUGAAAAGGCCCAAGCGACUGUUUAGCAAAAACACAGCUCUCUGCUAAAUCGAAAGAUGACGUAUAGGGGGUGACGCCUGCCCGGUGCUGGAAGGUUAAGGGGAGUGCUUAGCGCAAGCGAAGGUGCGAACUUAAGCCCCAGUAAACGGCGGCCGUAACUAUAACGGUCCUAAGGUAGCGAAAUUCCUUGUCAGGUAAGUUCUGACCCGCACGAAUGGCGUAACGAUUUGGGCACUGUCUCAACAGCCCGCCCGGCGAAAUUGUAGUACCGGUGAAGAUGCCGGUUUCCCGCAACUAGACGGAAAGACCCCAUGGAGCUUCACUGUAGCUUGAUAUUGGAUCUCGGUAUUCCAUGUACAGGAUAGGUGGGAGGCUUGGAAGUAAGCGCGCCAGCGUUUAUGGAGUCAACCUUGGGAUACCACUCUUGGGAUAUUGGGAUUCUAACCUGCGACCAUGAAUCUGGUCGGGGGACACUGUCAGGUGGGCAGUUUGACUGGGGCGGUCGCCUCCAAAAGAGUAACGGAGGCGCUCAAAGGUUCGUUCAGCACGGACGGAAAUCGUGCACUGAGUGUAAACGCAUAAACGAGCCUAACUGCGAGAAUGACGGUUCGAGCAGUAACGAAAGUUGGAGUUAGUGAUCCGGCGGUAUGUGAAUGGAAAUGCCGUCGCUCAACGGAUAAAAGCUACCCUGGGGAUAACAGGCUGAUCUCCCCCAAGAGUCCACAUCGACGGGGAGGUUUGGCACCUCGAUGUCGGCUCAUCGCAUCCUGGGGCUGUAUUCGGUCCCAAGGGUUUGGCUGUUCGCCAAUUAAAGCGGUACGCGAGCUGGGUUCAGAACGUCGUGAGACAGUUCGGUCCCUAUCUGUUGCGGGCGCAGGAAUAUUGAGAGGAGCUGUCCUUAGUACGAGAGGACCGGGAUGGACGUACCGCUGGUGCACCAGUUGUUCUGCCAAGGGCAUAGCUGGGUAGCUAAGUACGGACGAGAUAAACGCUGAAGGCAUCUAAGCGUGAAACUCCCCUCGAGAUAAGUGUUCCCAUCCUUCGGGAGUAAGGCCCCUUGUAGACUACAAGGUUGAUAGGUCAGGAGUGGAAGUGCAGUAAUGUAUGGAGCGGACUGAUACUAAUAGGCCGAGGGCUUGACCUU
rnacentral:rRNA from 1 species